rnacentral:rRNA from 1 species
GUGCCAGCAGCCGCGGUAAAACGUAGGAAGCAAACGUUAUCCGGAGUUACUGGGCGUAAAGCGCGUGUAGGUGGAUUAGUAAGUUACUUAUAAAAGCUCCUGGCUAAACUAGGAGAGGUUGAGUGAUACUGCUAGUCUUGAAUAGAGGAGAGGUUGACGGAAUUCCGCGUGUAGUGGUGAAAUGCGUAGAGAUGCGGAAGAACACCAGUGGCGAAGGCGGUCAACUGGCCUCAUAUUGACACUCAGACGCGAAGGCAUGGGUAGCGAACGGGAUUAGAAACCCCAGUAGUCC